GGCGCACGGGUGCGUAACGCGUAUGCAAUCUACCUUUUGGUUCGGAACAACACGGGGAAACCUGUGCUAAUACCGGAUAAGUCCUUACGGAGAAAGUUUUAAUGCCAAAAGAUGAGCCCGCACUUGAUUAGCUAGUUGGUAAGGUAAUGGCUUACCAAGGCAACGAUCAAUAGCUGUUCUUAGAGGAAGACCAGCCACACUGGGACUGAGAUACGGCCCAGACUCC
rnacentral:rRNA from 1 species